UACGGAGGGUGCGAGCGUUGUCCGGAAUCAUUGGGCGUAAAGGGCGCGUAGGUGGCCCGGUAAGCGUGCGGUGAAAGCUUGGGGCUCAACCCCGAGUCGGCCGUGCGAACUGCUGGGCUGGAGCACUGUAGAGGCAGGCGGAAUUCCGGGUGUAGCGGUGGAAUGCGUAGAGAUCCGGAAGAACACCGGUGGCGAAGGCGGCCUGCUGGGCAGUGGCUGACGCUGAUGCGCGACAGCGUGGGGAGCAAACAGG
rnacentral:rRNA from 1 species